AAAUUUUUUCCCUUUUCUGAAUUCCUGGUAGGCAUCUCUGCUAGGCAGCAAACUCUUUGAGGGCAAAGACCCUGUACAUGACCCUGAGCCCUUAAUAGAGCACCUGGAAAAUGGGCACCAAACAUGUGCUUUUCAAUGGACCUAAGUAUUUAUUCAGAACUCAAUGCACCUAGCUCUGAGCUAGUGGCAUCAGUUAAGAUUCAACUGAGAAGAGAAACACUCUUGCUAUUCUAAACAGGAGAGGGCUUGUGACAGGGUGUUGAAUGGCUUGCAGAAUCACUGGGAGAGCUGAAGAAACAGACUCGAGGUUGAGCUUUCAGAAGUGACUGCCUUAGGCACACUGCAGAACUGGGCCACGAAGAGGGCUGAAGUUGUCGUGUCUUGGUGUGAGGGCUUGUGGCCUGGGACUGUGGCAGCCAUUCUUUCACCAUGAGGGGAUCCACCUGAGAAUGCAGCUUACAUUCUGAAGAUGGCAGAGUAGGAAGAACCUGGAAGCUGUUGAGCUGUGAAUUAUCCAACCCUGGAGCACCCUGCCUGAAGCCCUUUUCUUAGCUAUUUAGGGUAAAGUUUCCAUGAAGCUGUAGCAACCAAGGGCAUCUUCACUGGGAGCCAGACACUGUGCUAAGUACUUCACGUCGAUUAUCUUAUUUCUGUGCUACAGCAACAAAGACAAAUUCAGCCUUGGUUCCUGCUCUCACAAGAUGGAGUCCUGAGAUCUCCCUCAUGCUGGGGUGGGCAGGAAGCGAAGAACACAGGAAGGAGGGAGUCAGAGGCUGAUGGCAGUUCCUGCUUCUCCAGUUUUAAGACCAAGACCCAGUUUCAGGCCUAUCAAUGUCAAGGGGAAAGGUAAAUCCUGCUCCAUCCAGGGCCAGAGGUAAACCCCCACCCCUUGCUCCACACCUCAGGGGUGUGCACCAUGGGGAGGGAGGGAGGCAGGACCUCCAGCCCCUCUCAGCUUCCUGAGAAGUCUUUGCCACCUGGGGACCCCUCCCUGCAUCCCCCUCCUAUGAUCUCCCAUCUGGGGCCUUGGUGAGAAGAGGCUGUUGGAAUGCCUCAGGAGACAUGGCAUGUGUCCCAGCCAGAGCCAUCUUGAUAGCAAAGCUGACACCACAAUCCCGAUGCCUAAUUGCAUGCCUUCUCCCUCUCACCUUCCCAGCACAGGGAGGUUGCUGAGAAGAGAACAUGAACACAGAGGCUAAGAGUGAAUGGGUCUUUUCUUUUUUUCUUUUUCUUUUUUUGGUUUCAGUUUUGUUUUGAGAUGGGGGUCUUGCUUUGUUGCCCAGGCUGGUGUUGAACUCCUGGUCUCGAGCGAUCCUCCUGCCUCAGACGCCUGAGUAGCUGGGAUACAAGCGUGCACCCCCAUGACAGGCUGAGUGGAUGCUUUGGAUUCAAACUCUGCUGUUGACGAAUACUGUUAGUUGCCUGUGUCAUACAUCUCCCACAGCCCCCCUUAUGCUACACCUUCUGCCACAUACACACCCUUCCUUACAGUGACAGCGAACCCAGCUCCAGGCAAUGGACUAUGACUGGUCUAAGCCAAGGGUCAGCAAACUACGGCCUGAGUGCCAAAUCUGAAUGCCCCCUGUUCUUACAUGGUACAUGAGCUAAAAUGGUUUUUAACACGUUUCAAAUGGUUGAAAACAUAAAAAUAAUAUUUUGUGACACAUGAAAAUUAUAUGAUAUUGAAGAUUUUUAAAAUUUCAAUGUAUAAUUUUUAUUUUUUUAUAGAGACAGGGUAUUGCUAUGUUGCCUAGGUUAGUCUCAAACUCCUGGCCUCAAGUGAUCCUCCUGCCUCGGCCUCCCAAACUGCUGGGAUUACAGGUGCGAGCCACUGCACCC
rnacentral:lncRNA from 10 species